rnacentral:lncRNA from 1 species
UUUUCUCGUGCAUCACGUAUACUCUGGGGGUUAAUUUCACUCUUUGGACUCUUUUCCUACUCGAAUUUUUCGAGCAUUUCAUAUGUGUUAGAGUCUUAAGUCUCGGCAAGUGCAUUUUUCUCUUUUGUUUUUCUUUUCUCUUUUUUUCUCUUUUUUUUUUCUUUUAAAGAAAAUACAUAUUAUUUUUCUUUUUGUAUGAUCUCUUAUUAUGCACUUGCUUCUCUUUCAAGAUUUCCACCCCAAACUUAGAUUUCUUGCACAUUUUGCAA